rnacentral:lncRNA from 1 species
UAUGUAGUUAAAUUAAAUGAAUAAUAUUUUGAAGUGCAUUAACUACUCACAACUCAUUGCUUCCCAAUGAUUAGACUUCCUUUUCCUCUUAUCUUGUGUUUAUAUUUCUUGCAUCUCUGGACACAUGUGCUACUGCACAUUUCUUGUCAAUGUUAUAUUAGAAAUUUAAAAUUGGCUUUGGGGUUCUAUGUGAAUAACUUUCAGGGAAGCU